CCUGUUUCAGUAAUGUCAGCAGUUGGCUUCACCACUGAUGGACUCUGAUUUCCAGUUGAAAGGAGGAGGAGGCACUGUGGGUAUGUGUACUGCUUAAGGAAAAUGAUGAGAAGAGCUUGCCAAGUCCUCACAGUCACCUGAGAAAAUAUUCAACGUUUCUGUGUUCUACAAAGUUUGGAUAUGACCUUUUUGAAGAACUGUACUUAUGCACGGCCAAGGCACCAAAACUGCUGGGAUUUUACAUUUUCUUUCAC